GAAGGCCAGGCUUCAUGGAAGACUGCCAAGGCUGUUCAUGUGCAGCCCUUGCCGAACGGAAGCUAGCAUCGACUAGGCCAGUUCGUUCCUACAUCACCAGCCGAGCUGAGGACCAGGUCCAUGGCAGUCUGCAAAGGUUGUUGAUGGUGCUCUAAUGAUGGACCCCUUGCUGGGUGCAUGG
rnacentral:lncRNA from 1 species